GACCUCGGAUCAGGUAGGAAUACCCGCUGAACUUAGGCAUAUCAAUAAGCGGAGGAAAAGAAACCAACAGGGAUUGCCUCAGUAACGGCGAGUGAAGCGGCAAAAGCUCAAAUUUGAAAUCUGACCCUUCGGGUCCGAGUUGUAAUUUGCAGAGGAUGUUUCGGGUAAGAUUUAGGUCUAAGUUCCUUGGAACAGGACGUCAUAGAGGGUGAGAAUCCCGUACGUGACCGUUGAUCGCACCCAUGUGAAACUCCUUCGACGAGUCGAGUUGUUUGGGAAUGCAGCUCAAAAUGGGUGGUAAAUUUCAUCUAAAGCUAAAUAUUGGCCAGAGACCGAUAGCGCACAAGUAGAGUGAUCGAAAGAUGAAAAGCACUUUGAAAAGAGAGUUAAACAGUAUGUGAAAUUGUUGAAAGGGAAGCGCUUGCAACCAG
rnacentral:rRNA from 1 species